GGACACGACUGAGCAACUGAACUGAACUGAACAAAGAGUCAGACAUGACUGAGUGACUGAACAACAGCAACCUACCUAAAUGCUAGGGAGCCUUUGAAAAGACUUGGAUGAUACAACUACUAGUAUUAUUGUUACUACUGAACUAUUACUACCACUAAUGAACACUCACUCUGUGUGUAAUACACCAAGCCCUGUUCUAUGCAUUUGCUAAGUACUGACUUUGUUUACUCUUCACAUAAACCCCAUGCAGUAGAUGUCAUUAUUAUCCCCAUUUUAUUGAAGAAGAAUCUGAGGUUCAGAGAGGCAGUCAGUGAGUGGAAAAGCUGGGAUUUGAAUCCCAGUAGUUUCUAUAUGUGGAUUAAAUUGUUAAGUGAAUAGAGCAAGUUGCAGAAAAGGGCAUACACUAGAAUCCUAUUAAAAGACAUCAAUAACACAAUCCCACAGACAGACACACAGAACUCUGUGUGUGGGGGUUGUGUGAAAGUGUAAAACAUUCUAGAAGGAUUACCGUCAGUUGUGAGAACAGAUGGGCUUGGAGAAGUAGGUGGGGUAUUCACUUUUUACCACAAAGACUCUGUACAGUUGAAUGUGCUACAAUGAGCAUAUGCUACUCUUAAAAACUUACCACUGAUUUUACUGAAUUAUUUCCUCCAGUUAGAAGUUCUCUCACCACUGUCAACCAUCUCUAUUAAGAAUUUAAACUGGCUGAUCAUCUGGCUUCUAGUUAUUGCAUCUCUAAUAAUCAUCAGGCUAGACUAGCACAUCAAAAUACAUUACCAUCUGUAGGAGGAAAAAAUAUCUGGGAGUAGAGAUCACAAAACCAAAUGCAAAGAUGAUAUAUUUUAACAUCUAAGGUCAAAGUAAGAUCUCCAGAUCUAGGGACAAAGCUAAAGAGGGCUGGCUUCUGAGACUGAGAGGUCCCCAGGGCACUGGCUUCUGAGACUGACACGUCCCCAGGGCACUCCUGGGAUCAGCUCCCCAGCGAGUUCAGGGUGGCUGGGUUGGGGAGCCUGCCCGAUUACCGCCAGUACAGCCCCCACCCUCUAGCCCAGAGAAAGAGGGCAGCCUCAAUUAAACUAAUCCAUGAAGGGAAAGAAGUCAGGAAACACCAAUGCUGGAGCCUGUUAGGAAUGUGGGUCAGGAGUGUAGCUGUCAUGACUACAAACGGAAAAGUCUCAGACAAAACUGAACUGGGGAAGAAUUUGACAACCUAUGUUUCAAACAGGAGGGAGAGGGAACCCUGAUUCACAAAUAUGCAUCUUGGUUCCAGGGGUAGAAAAAGGACACUCCAGAGCAGAGAGCUGCCACAGCUCACCAGAAGUACCUCUUUUAAAAACCCUGACCCCCGUGCUUGACUCUGUUCUCACCAGGAAAUGCUCUCUGGUGGUGCCUAGACUCUGGCAGGCUCCCUGCUUCAAAAAGAGAGUGCCUGGUACAGCGAAGAUGCUCUGCAAGGAAAGAACCCACACUCGUUCUUGAGUCAUGGAUAUUCUCCUUCAGAAACCAACACAGAGAGCUCUGGUUUACCAGUUCCUUUCAGUUCUAUGAGUCCAUGACAGGAGGAUCGUACCUGAGGGGUCCCCAGCCGCUCUAUCAGAGGGACCAGGUGAAGUGGGGCAUACUUGGCUUCCAGGCGUUUCAUCCGGACCUCCAGACGCUCACCCUCUGCAAAAGGAAUGGUUUCUUUGCUCCUGGAAUGGCACAAUAACCUCAUCUGCCAUGUCUAAGACCUGGGGAUCAUUUUCUCACUCUUCCUCACCUGCUAUGACCAAUGGUGACUGCAGCCAUGAAAUUAAAAGACGCUUACUCCU